rnacentral:piRNA from 4 species
UACUAAAGAUUUCCGUGGAGAGGAACAA